rnacentral:lncRNA from 1 species
UGCUGGCUCCAUAGUGGCAUGGCGACAGUCAUUUGCUUACUUCAGACUAUAUCUCUACUUUCUUUAUCACAUCCCAUCCUACCCCAGACACAAUGAAGCCUUCCUAUGCCUGGCCUGUGACUUUUGCACACCCGGAGUCUGGGAAUUACAUAGCAGAAUUGUGUAUUCGGCACAGAGCAUCCUCUCUGUUCUCUGCAAUGUGUGCUUGCCAGACUCUCUCAGCACCAAGCCCUUUCCCACGCCCCGUGGCUGCAGCACAUGGAAGACCCCAUGAAGGGCUGGGCUUUGAUCCCAGGGUCGGGAGCACAUCUUCACUGAUUGUGGUUCCUUGAAUGUCUUUGAGGUUCCCACCCAGAACACUCCUUAGCUGACAGGGUUCCAUCCACCACCCUGACAGGAGCCAAGGGUAAGAAGUUCAGGCAGUUGGAACGGAAUCAGAAUGGUCUGGAAGAGAUGAACACCUACCUCUGCUUGCUAUUCCUCCCAUGCCUUUGGCGAGGAAAUUAAAAAAAAAAAAAAAUCACAGGAAACCAGCCAUUAAAUCAAUGUAGGAGACCUCAUGAACCAUCUGAGGUCUGGCAGUGGAAAUGUCAAACCAGAGCCUAAAGUAUGAGGAAGGAGGAAGAGGACCUACUGUUUUGCUGUGGUCGCUAAGGGAGGAGCAGACAGCCUGCCCUGUCCCAGGGCUUCUCUACAGCAUGAGUCAGGCCUGGGAAGCUGCACCUAGCCCCUCACACUGAAACUCUCGCUCUCCCUUCACUACCAAGGCAGAGCCCCAGCCUCCCUUCUUGACCACUGCCUGGCUCCCACUCUGGUCCUCUGGGCUGUGAGGGACUUCCAACUCCACAUCACUAGACUGCAUCUUACUCAACUGCACAUCGUGGGUACAGGUCCUUGUACUAAAUAAGACUUCAAUAAUUAUUUGUUAAGUUUAACCAGAGCUCGGUAGAAAUAACCUUUCAGCCCACAAAUUAUUAUAUUGUUCUUUGGUUAGGAAAUAUAUGAUGAUAGACUCUUCAUUUUCUCUCAAGAAUAAUUUAAAAUGCUGUCCUUCGCUGAAGACUUCCUCCUCUUCCUCUUCCCCCACCUCCUCCACUUCCUCUUUCUCCUUCUUCAGAUAGGAUCUUACUAUGCAGUUGCAGCUGGCCUAGAACUUGCUAUGUAGACCAGGCUAGCUUCAGACUCACAGAGAUCUGCUGGUCUCUGCCUGGGAUUGAAGGUGAGCAUCACCACACACAGCGUUCGGACUUCCUAAGAGAGCUUUCGGUGACUACUAGCUUCUGGCUCUUAGUACCUGCACUCUCUCAACCCUCCUCCCUCCGCCCACUCAGUGCCGCCUGGCCCCCACAAUGGGUAAAUAAAUACAAAGGAACGUGUGGAUUUACAGCACCUGUUUUGUCUUAAAUGCUUAAUCAACUACGCCCUCCUCUCAUGAGUGCAAAUUCCCUGGCUUCUGAGACACCUUCGGUUCUUGUUGAUAUACACUCAGACUUUCACCUUCCCAAGGCUGGCUUUCUUCCUUGGCCCUAGGUUCUGAACACUGGAAUUCACUGUGGUUCUAAAUCUGUUUCCCCAGCUGUUGAUAUCCAUGGGAUCACCAUCCGUGUGUUCACCCAACCUUCUCUUGACCACUUUGCUCUCUAUCCUCCAGGUUUCCUUUUUCUUUCAUUGAAUAUAGAUUUUUUAUAUAUAUACAGUAUAUACUGAUUGUGGUUUCCUCUUCCCCAGCUCCCCCCUCCAGAUCCUUUCCAACAUCCCAUCCACCCAAAUCUACACCCCUUACUUUCCCACUCUGUCUCUCAUUAGAAUACAAACAAGCACCUCGUAAGUAAUAAAAAGAUAAGAUAAAAACAAAUCAGAAUAGGAGGAC